rnacentral:rRNA from 1 species
UACGGAGGGGGCAAGCGUUGUUCGGAAUUACUGGGCGUAAAGGGCGCGUAGGCGGCCUGCUAAGUCGAACGUGAAAUCCCUGGGCUCAACCCAGGAACUGCGUCCGAUACUGGUUGGCUUGAAUCCGGGAGAGGGAUGCGGAAUUCCAGGUGUAGCGGUGAAAUGCGUAGAUAUCUGGAGGAACACCAGUAGCGAAGGCGGCUCGCUGGGCCAUUCCUGACGCUGAGACGCGAAAGCUAGGGGAGCGAACAGG